UACCAGCACCCCGAGUGGUCGGGACGUUUUAUUGGGCCUAAAGCAUCCGUAGCCGGUUCUACAAGUCUUCCGUUAAAUCCACCUGCUUAACAGAUGGGCUGCGGAAGAUACUAUAGAGCUAGGAGGCGGGAGAGGCAAGCGGUACUCGAUGGGUAGGGGUAAAAUCCGUUGAUCCAUUGAAGACCACCAGUGGCGAAGGCGGCUUGCCAGAACGCGCUCGACGGUGAGGGAUGAAAGCUGGGGGAGCAA
rnacentral:rRNA from 1 species